rnacentral:misc_RNA from 1 species
UCCGGUUUGUCACCGGCAGUCUCCCAUGAGUCCCCAACUUAAUGCUGGCAACAUGGAACGGGGGUUGCGCUCGUUGCGGGACUUAACCCAACAUCUCACAACACGAGCUGACGACAGCCAUGCACCACCUGUAUACCGACAAAAAGGGACCGUAUCUCUACAGCUUUCCGGCAUAUGUCAAACCCAGGUAAGGUUCUUCGCGUUGCAUCGAAUUAAUCCGCAUGCUCCGCCGCUUGUGCGGGCCCCCGUCAAUUCCUUUGAGUUUUAACCUUGCGGUCGUAAUCCCCAGGCGGGGUGCUUAAUGCGUUAGCUACGGCACGGAGGGAGUGGAUAACCCCCCACACCUAGCACCCAUCGUUUACGGCGUGGACUAC